rnacentral:rRNA from 1 species
UACGUAGGAGACGAGCGUUGUCCGGAGUUACUGGGCGUAAAGGGUGCGCAGGUGGCGGCGCGCGUGGGGGGUGAAAUCGCCCGGCUUAACUGGGCGGGGGCCUUCCAGACGGCGUGGCUUGAGCAGCGGAGGGGGACGUGGAAUUCCGGGUGGAGCGGUGAAAUGCGUAGAGAUCCGGAGGAACACCGACGGCGCAGGCAGCGUCCUGGCCACUUGCUGACACUGAGGCACGAAAGCUGGGGGAGCAAACAGG